rnacentral:rRNA from 1 species
UAGGGAAUCUUGCACAAUGGGCGAAAGCCUGAUGCAGCGAUGCCGCGUGAGGGAUGAAGGCCUUCGGGUUGUAAACCUCUUUCGGCAGGGAAGAAGCCACGGGUCACCGUGGUGACGGUACCUGCAGAAGAAGCCCCGGCUAACUACGUGCCAGCAGCCGCGGUAAAACGUAGGGGGCGAGCGUUGCCCGGAUUCACUGGGCGUAAAGCGCGUGUAGGCGGUCCUCUAAGUCGGGUGUGAAAUCUCCGGGCUUAACCCGGAAACUGCACUCGAUACUGGUGGACUUGAGGACGGUAGAGGUCGGUGGAAUGACCGGUGUACCGGUGAAAUGGACAGAUAUCGGUCGGAACACCAGUGGCGAAGGCGGCCGACUGGGCCGUUCCUGACGCUGAGACGCGAAAGCCAGGGGAGCGAACCG